UUGGUAUUACAACCGGACCGGAAAUCUCGGACCGGGGGACGCAAAGCAAUAUGAAGGUCAGGCUGAAGACCUUACCCGAUUAGCUGAGAGGUGGUGCAUGGCCGUCGUCAGUUCGUACUGUGAAGCAUCCUGUUAAGUCAGGCAACGAGCGAGACCCACGUCCACAGUUGCCAGCAUACCCUCCGGGGUGAUGGGUACACUGUGGAGACCGCCGCUGCUAAAGCGGAGGAAGGAGUGGGCAACGGUAGGUCAGUAUGCCCCGAAUCUCCCGGGCUACACGCGGGCUACAAUGGUUGGUACAAUGGGCAUCUACCCCGAAAGGGGAAGGAAAUCUCUUAAAGCCAAUCGUAGUUCGGAUUGAGGGCUGCAACUCGCCCUCAUGAAGCUGGAAUCCGUAGUAAUCGCGUUUCAACAGAACGCGGUGAAUACGUCCCUGCUCCUU
rnacentral:rRNA from 1 species